UAGAGAUCCGUAUUUUUGAGGCCAUAUGUUUUUUUCCUUUUCCUUUUGUUAACGUACGGCCCGUCGAGAUAGACGGUACGGAUAUUCGGUGUGACGUCUUUGUGGGAGGAUAUAAGGGUAAUUGUGUGAGGGGUGCACGUGUGAGUGUGUGGUGCGAGAAGCGGGGGAUUGCUCCCCACUUCUAUAAUUCUCCCCAGGAGAAUUAUUUCUCCAUUCUUUUUUUUCUCUCUCACUCCCUCGGCAGUCUCUCUCUCCUCUCCUCCGAAAACUCUCUCCUCUCUUCUCUCUUCUCUCUUUGAUCUCAACACCUUAGAGCGUGAUUCCGGAUGAAGUCCAAGAAUUAAAGUUGUUGUACGGAGCACGGGCUUUCCGAAUAUCCAAGAAAAAUCUUGAUCGGACCGCGUGGGAGCUCGGUUGACUUGGUCAAAGGGUCGGGUUUUGCUCAAAACCCAUGAGGUACACUAUAAGGAUAUAGUCUGGGAGGGUGUAAAGUGCAUGCAGACAUCAAGCUAAAGAUAUUUUCUGAAGUAUUUGUCUUUCUUCAUAAAUCAACUGCACUAUACUAUUUUCUCUAUUUUGGAAUACUGUAUCAAUUGACAGAUUUGUGAGAUUCAAAAACAACUGUAUUGUAAUUUGGGGUAUCGUAUGUACUAUUGUGAGGAUUUGUAUUUAAAAUGGUAUUGUUAUU